rnacentral:rRNA from 1 species
CGUUCCCGGGCCUUGUACACACCGCCCGUCACACCACGAAAGCCCGUUACACCAGAAACGGCUGCGCCAACCCGCAAGGGAGGUAGGUCUUUAAGGUGAAACUGGUGAUUGGGGUG